AGGAAGACAGGCUGAUAUAUAUACAGAGGUUGUGACAUAGAGGAAGACAGGCUGAUAUAUAUAUAGAGGUUGUGACAGAGGAAGACAGGCUGAUAUAUAUAUAGAGGUUGUGACAGAGGAAGACAGGCUGAUAUAUAUACAGAGGUUGUGACAUAGAGGAAGACAGGCUGAUAUAUAUACAGAGGUUGUGACAUAGAGGAAGACAGGCUGAUAUAUAUACAGAGGUUGUGACAUAGAGGAAGACAGGCUGAUAUAUAUACAGAGGUUGUGACAUAGAGGAAGACAGGCUGAUAUAUAUAUAGAGGUUGUGACAGAGGAAGACAGACUGAUAUAUAUAUAUAGAGAGACUGAUAUAUAUAUAGAGAGGUUGUGACAGAGGAAGACAGACUGAUA